rnacentral:rRNA from 1 species
ACUAGUGAUUUCCGUAGGUGAACCUGCGGAAGGAUCAUUAAAAUGUAUAAUCCACACCAAAAUUAUAAAACAACUUCAACAACCACUAUAAUGUGAAUGUGUUAAUUGUAUAUGUAUAUGUUUUCUUGUCAUUGAUAUUUGAUAGGUCGUAUGUAUGUAUAUAAUAACUGUUUAACAAUACAACCACUCAGUAAACCACCAAUUUAUUUCUAUUUAAAUCGGAUCUGAGACGAGAAUAUACGUCAUAUUUAUUUAUGUAUGUAUGUUCUCUUUUUUUAUUAAAAUAAAUUUACAACUUUCAGCGAUGGAUGUCUAGGUUCUCGCAACGAUGAAGAACGCAGCGAAAUGCGAUACGUAAUGCGAAUUGCAGAAUUCAGUGAAUCAUCAAAUUUUUGAACGCAAAUUGCGCUUCCGGGUACUCCUGGAAGCAUGCCUGUUUCAGUGUCUGUAGACACAACUCGCAAGAGUGGUUUCAUUUCUUGAUAGAAUAAUAAUCAUUUUUGGCGGAUUCUGAUUCUUGUUUGUUGUAAGAUGAGCAUGAAUUGAAGUAUAACAUGACAUACAUUUCCCUCACGAGUAGAUUGUAAAAUUUAACGUGAGCAUGGUGAUAAGGAUUAUUAUUAUGAUAAUCUUUUUAAACUAAGCUUACAAGUUAAUAUGUAAUUGCGUUUGAGUGAAUGGAAAGAUUAACGGUAUGUUCUGAAUGAUUUUUUGUUUGGAAUGAAUUUUUCAUAAAUUGGACCUGAAAUCAGGCAAGAAGAACGGGUGAAUUUAAGCAUAUCAAUAAGCGGAG